rnacentral:rRNA from 1 species
CACAUGCAAGCCGAGCGGUAGAGAUUCUUCGGAAUCUUGAGAGCGGCGUACGGGUGCGGAACACGUGUGCAACCUGCCUUUAUCAGGGGGAUAGCCUUUCGAAAGGAAGAUUAAUACCCCAUAAUAUAUUGAAUGGCAUCAUUUGAUAUUGAAAACUCCGGUGGAUAGAGAUGGGCACGCGCAAGAUUAGAUAGUUGGUGAGGUAACGGCUCACCAAGUCUACGAUCUUUAGGGGGCCUGAGAGGGUGAUCCCCCACACUGGUACUGAGACACGGACCAGACUCCUACGGGAGGCAGCAGUGAGGAAUAUUGGACAAUGGGUGCGAGCCUGAUCCAGCCAUCCCGCGUGAAGGACGACGGCCCUAUGGGUUGUAAACUUCUUUUGUAUAGGGAUAAACCUAGAUACGUGUAUCUAGCUGAAGGUACUAUACGAAUAAGCACCGGCUAACUCCGUGCCAGCAGCCGCGGUAAUACGGAGGGUGCAAGCGUUAUCCGGAUUUAUUGGGUUUAAAGGGUCCGUAGGCGGAUUUGUAAGUCAGUGGUGAAAUCUCACAGCUUAACUGUGAAACUGCCAUUGAUACUGCAAGUCUUGAGUGUUGUUGAAGUAGCUGGAAUAAGUAGUGUAGCGGUGAAAUGCAUAGAUAUUACUUAGAACACCAAUUGCGAAGGCAGGUUACUAAGCAACAACUGACGCUGAUGGACGAAAGCGUGGGGAGCGAACAGGAUUAGAUACCCUGGUAGUCCACGCCGUAAACGAUGCUAACUCGUUUUUGGAUUUUCGGAUUCAGAGACUAAGCGAAAGUGAUAAGUUAGCCACCUGGGGAGUACGAACGCAAGUUUGAAACUCAAAGGAAUUGACGGGGGCCCGCACAAGCGGUGGAUUAUGUGGUUUAAUUCGAUGAUACGCGAGGAACCUUACCAAGGCUUAAAUGGGAAAUGACAGGUUUAGAAAUAGACUUUUCUUCGGACAUUUUUCAAGGUGCUGCAUGGUUGUCGUCAGCUCGUGCCGUGAGGUGUUAGGUUAAGUCCUGCAACGAGCGCAACCCCUGUCACUAGUUGCCAUCAUUAAGUUGGGGACUCUAGUGAGACUGCCUACGCAAGUAGAGAGGAAGGUGGGGAUGACGUCAAAUCAUCACGGCCCUUACGCCUUGGGCCACACACGUAAUACAAUGGCCGGUACAGAGGGCAGCUACACAGCGAUGUGAUGCAAAUCUCGAAAGCCGGUCUCAGUUCGGAUUGGAGUCUGCAACUCGACUCUAUGAAGCUGGAAUCGCUAGUAAUCGCGCAUCAGCCAUGGCGCGGUGAAUACGUUCCCGGGCCUUGUACACACCGCCCGUCAAGCCAUGGAAGUCUGGGGUACCUGAAGUCGGUGACC